CUACGGGUCGCUCCAGUGAGGAAUAUUGCACAAUGGGGGGAACCCUGAUGCAGCAACGCCGCGUGGAGGAUGACGCAUUUCGGUGUGUAAACUCCUUUUAUAUGUCAAGAAAAUGACGGUAGCAUAUGAAUAAGCACCGGCUAACUCCGUGCCAGCAGCCGCGGUAAUACGGAGGGUGCAAGCGUUACUCGGAAUCACUGGGCGUAAAGGACGCGUAGGCUGGUUGGUAAGUCAGGUGUGAAAUCCUACAGCUUAACUGUAGAACUGCACUUGAAACUACCAACCUAGAGUAUGGGAGGGGGAGAUGGAAUUAGUGGUGUAGGGGUAAAAUCCGUAGAUAUCACUAGGAAUACCGAAAGCGAAGGCGAUCUCCUGGAACAUAACUGACGCUAAGGCGUGAAAGCGUGGGGAGCAAACAGGAUUAGAUACCCUCGUAGUC
rnacentral:rRNA from 1 species